AAAGAGUAUGGGUGCUGAGUUUGCUUCACCAUAAAGCAUAAGUGGAAGGAGGGGACAAAAUGGGAAUUUCUCUCAUAGAAGACAGUGUGUUUGCCAGCAGCUCACAUAUGGCAUGUUAGAGAAACAGAAGUGCUACCUUGUACGGGCAAUGAAGUCUGUGCAAAACCACAAUGACCAUUCCAUUAAAGGUACUUGGCAUGCCAGCAUUUUUCCUCUAUGGCUCUCAAAGCAUUUUACUAAGAGAAAACAUAUUUUAUUCAUUACACUUGGAGUUCUGCCUGUGCACCAUCUAGAUCUGAGCAGUGCUCACUGUCUUUAGGGAGAAGAGGUUGAUGAAUCACAGAAAUAUUGUAAGGACCUUGUAACAUUUUAUUACAACAAAGAUCUAAAAUGUCAUAUUAUUCUACACACCUUGCUUCCCUACAGAAAACGCACUGUUCAUAGCAUUAUUGUUUAAAAGCUUCCCCUGUU